CAGCCGCCGCGGGAAUACGGAGGGAGCAAGCGUUAAUCGGAAUUACUGGGCGUAAGGCGUGCGUAGGCGGUUCGUUAAGUCUGUUGUGAAAGCCCCGGGCUCAACCUGGGAAUGGCAAUGGAUACUGGCGAGCUAGAGUGUGUCAGAGGAUGGUGGAAUUCCCGGUGUAGCGGUGAAAUGCGUAGAGAUCGGGAGGAACAUCAGUGGCGAAGGCGGCCAUCUGGGACAACACUGACGCUGAGGCACGAAAGCGUGGGGAGCAAACAGGAUUAGAUACCCCAGUAGUCCCUGUCUCUUAUAC
rnacentral:rRNA from 1 species